ensembl:lncRNA OVAAL ovarian adenocarcinoma amplified long non-coding RNA
AGUUGAGAGUCAUAGUGUGGACAAGGGCAGGUGCCCUGGGCAUCUGCACAGCUGGUACACUCCUUCAUCCAAAGUUUGAUCAAGACAAAGGAAAACAUAAUUAGGAGCUCAGGGAGGCAGCUGUAUGGAGGCCAAUAUGCAGACAAGGGAAGUAACUCAGGCAUUUUGGGGGAGAGGUACAGAAAGAAGAGAAAAGACUGAACUGACUGCUGUUCUGAACAAGAACUGUGACUAUAUGUGGUACUCCCAGAAUGCUGGUUUCCUUUCAGACCCAUCAAGUGGCCAUCCUAUUGGCUUGGACUGAAGACCCCCACUGGAGAACUGUCUCUGCAGCCUAUACUGAUGACACUGGCCACUGUCCAGGGCUCCACCCCAAGGAGUCCAAGCCCCAGACAUUUAGCCUUAGAGAGAAUCCAGAUUUUGCAUUUCCAGUGCAGGGAUUGAUGGAGCCUUGUGUAUCAAAGUGCCAAUUUCUUUCUAACAAGCUAGGGAGGAUACCGUUGACAGCAGCAGAAAGGGGUAGCAGUGGUUUGCUUUCCAAAUGGUAAUAAGAAGGGCCUGGCAGUGGCAACCUGUCCACGUAUCAUUAAAAAUGGACUCUCCUGCUUCGUUUGGAAUUCAACCCAAUGAACUUGAAUAAACUCUGGACAAUGACCAGCACAGAGCCCUAAGCAGGAUACAGCAAGAUUAUUUGCUUUACUCAUCCACUGAGUACCUACCAUGUGCCAAAUACUAUGCUAUAUGCCGAGUAUACACUGGCAAAUAAAACAGAUAUGGUCCCUGGAGCCUAUGAAUCUUACCCCAUCUAGCCACAAAUAAUAAAAAUAAGAAGAAUCUGAAGGACAAGUGGGACAGAAAUACUCAAGCAGAAUGAGGGUGAGAUUGAAGUCCCUGAACAUACAGUGCCCUUUACACUUGAUCUUAGCCAAAAGGCCGAGAAGAGAUUACAGUGCUUUUUAAAGGUAGCAUUUCACCCAGCCAAUAAUCAAUCCCUUUGGCCUUCUUGAGGUGCAAGGCCACACACUCAAAUUCUUUAAUCAAACAAUAGGCUAGUGCAAAUGGAGCUAUUUCUUAAACCCAGCUGUUUACACAGCAGCUACAAAUCUGUUCAGAAGGAAUCCCCCACCAUCCACAACUGUCUAUCGAGCAGAUGUGCAAGAGUAUUUGUCUCUCACCACCAGGGUUGCAGUCAGGACAAGAGAGCAGGUUUGAACGUCUUCGGCUCCUAGAACUGCACAAGCUGUGUCUUCAGUGCCCAGAGGCGGCUGCAACGUCUCCCCAGUUCUCCUCUCAGAACAAUGGAAAUUUUUUUUAGAGGCGUAAUAGGAAGGUUUGCAUUGAAUUAUUAAACAAUGGGUAUUGAAAAAUAUGUUUUCUUUGACCUCUGUACUUCUAGCUUUUACCAGUCAGUGUUUUCUUGUACCAAGGCUAAGAUAUGUAUAACACUGAAAUGGAUGUCUUCUUAUAUAAUAUUUUACAAGCUUUUGAAAACCUGUGCCCUUUAAUAAAUUUUAAAACGUUUCA